AGAUAGGCUCAAGGAAAAGAAUUGUAGUUACUUGAAUUUAAUAUAUUGACUUACUUUGAAAUAUAGCUUUAAAUAUCUGAUACUCAUCAACAGGGUUAUCUUCAUCAUCAAUGAUUGUGGAGUAGCCUUCCAGAGCAGUCUCUUCAGCAUCAUCCUCUUCCCAAUCUUCAUCAUCUCCAUCUUCACCUGCUUGCUUAGCCAGAAUCUCUAAGUAUUCUUGCCCAUCUUCAUCAAUAUCAUCUUCAUCACUCCCCAGUUCCUCUGCCAAGUUAAAAAUAGAACUAACAGAUGACAAAUGUUUGCCAUCACAAAAACCAUAAAUGCCUGAAAGUAUUUUACCCACUGGAGGUACAGACGAAGUACCUCCAUGGACCUUACACUCUGCAAAUCCCUUACCUGUUUCAUCAUCAUCUUCAGCUUCAUCAUCAUCAUCACUGUCAUUCUCAUGUUCUGCAUGGCAGGCAUAUGCUCUUUUUAAUCCAUUAAAUAAAAGGAUAAAAGCUGGCAAAAUCUGUCCAGAAACCUGAUUUAAAACUUGUGGUAUUUGUUCCAUGUCAAUGAGAGCACACAGGCCGAGAACACACAUCUUUCUGUCAUGAAGCCUAAAAAUAAAAUAAAAUGACAUAU